UACGUAGGGGGCAAGCGUUGUCCGGAAUCAUUGGGCGUAAAGAGCGUGUAGGCGGCCCGGUAAGUCCGCUGUGAAAGUCGGGGGCUCAACCCUCGAAUGCCGGUGGAUACUGUCGGGCUAGAGUGCGGGAGAGGCGAGUGGAAUCCUGGUGUAGCGGUGAAAUGCGCAGAUAUCAGGAGGAACACCAAUUGCGAAGGCAGCUCGCUGGAACGUAACUGACGCUGAGACGCGAAAGCGUGGGGAGCAAACAGG
rnacentral:rRNA from 1 species